rnacentral:rRNA from 1 species
AACGCGAAGAACCUUACCUGGGUUUGACAUCCUCUGACAUCCGUAGAGAUACGGCUUUUGUAGCAAUACAACAGAGAGACAGGUGCUGCAUGGCUGUCGUCAGCUCGUGUGGUGACAUGUUGGGUUAAGUCCCGCAACGAGCGCAACCCUUGUCUUUAGUUGCCAGCAUUCAGUUGGGCACUCUAGAGAGACUGCCGUGGUUAACACGGAGGAAGGUGGGGAUGACGUCAAGUCCUCAUGGCCCUUAUACCCAGGGCGACACACGUGAUACAAUGGUCGGUACAGAGGGAUGCGAAGCCGCGAGGCGGAGCUAAUCUACAAAAAGCCGAUCUCAGUUCGGAUUGGAGUCUGCAACUCGACUCCAUGAAGUUGGAAUCGCUAGUAAUCGCGGAUCAGCACGCCGCGGUGAAUACGUUCCCGGGCCUUGUACACACCGACGCAC